AUUGAACGCUGGCGGCAGGCCUAACACAUGCAAGUCGAGCGGAUGAAGGGAGCUUGCUCCUGGAUUCAGCGGCGGACGGGUGAGUAAUGCCUGGGAAUCUGCCUGGUAGUGGGGGAUAACCUCCGGAAACGGGCGCUAAUACCGCAUACGUCCUGAGGGAGAAAGUGGGGGAUCUUCGGACCUCACGCUAUCAGAUGAGCCUAGGUCGGAUUAGCUAGUUGGUGGGGUAAAGGCCUACCAAGGCGACGAUCCGUAACUGGUCUGAGAGGAUGAUCAGUCACACUGGAACUGAGACACGGUCCAGACUCCUACGGGAGGCAGCAGUGGGGAAUAUUGGACAAUGGGCGAAAGCCUGAUCCAGCCAUGCCGCGUGUGUGAAGAAGGUCUUCGGAUUGUAAAGCACUUUAAGUUGGGAGGAAGGGCAGUAAGUUAAUACCUUGCUGUUUUGACGUUACCAACAGAAUAAGCACCGGCUAACUUCGUG
rnacentral:rRNA from 1 species